GUGCCAGCCGCCGCGGUAAUACGUAGGUGGCAAGCGUUGUCCGGAUUUAUUGGGCGUAAAGCGAGCGCAGGCGGUUUCUUAAGUCUGAUGUGAAAGCCUUCGGCUCAACCGAAGAAGUGCAUCGGAAACUGGGAAACUUGAGUGCAGAAGAGGACAGUGGAACUCCAUGUGUAGCGGUGAAAUGCGUAGAUAUAUGGAAGAACACCAGUGGCGAAGGCGGCUGUCUGGUCUGUAACUGACGCUGAGGCUCGAAAGCAUGGGUAGCAAACAGGAUUAGAUACCCUGGUAGUCCAUGCUGUAAACGAUGAGUGCUAGGUGUUGGAGGGUUUCCGCCCUUCAGUGCCGCAGCUAACGCAUUAAGCACUCCGCCUGGGGAGUACGACCGCAAGGUUGAAACUCAAAGGAAUUGACGGGGGCCCGCACAAGCGGUGGAGCAUGUGGUUUAAUUCGAAGCAACGCGAAGAACCUUACCAGGUCUUGACAUCCUUUGACCACUCUAGAGAUAGAGCUUUCCCUUCGGGGACAAAGUGACAGGUGGUGCAUGGUUGUCGUCAGCUCGUGUCGUGAGAUGUUGGGUUAAGUCCCGCAACGAGCGCAACCCUUAUUACUAGUUGCCAGCAUUUAGUUGGGCACUCUAGUGAGACUGCCGGUGACAAACCGGAGGAAGGUGGGGACGACGUCAAAUCAUCAUGCCCCUUAUGACCUGGGCUACACACGUGCUACAAUGGAUGGUACAACGAGUUGCGAGACCGCGAGGUUUAGCUAAUCUCUUAAAACCAUUCUCAGUUCGGAUUGUAGGCUGCAACUCGCCUACAUGAAGCCGGAAUCGCUAGUAAUCGCGGAUCAGCAUGCCGCGGUGAAUACGUUCCCGGGCCUUGUACACACCGCCCGU
rnacentral:rRNA from 1 species